ensembl:lncRNA
GUAUUUAUGUAUAGUGAUAAGAUCAUCCCUAAGCCUUUUCUUCUCCGGGAUGAACAGCCUCAGCUGUCAUCCUCUCCUCACGUGACAGAUACUGCAAUCCCUUAAUCAUCUUUCUGAGUCUUUGCUGAACUUGUUCUAGCACAUCUAUGUUAUGUAUUGAGGCAACCAGAACUGGACCUAGACCUCCAGUGCUGAGGAUAGGGGUAGGGUCACCUCCCUCAAUCCUUCCUAAUAGCCCAGGAUGUUCUUGGCCUUCUUUGCCAUAAAGACAUUUUGCUGGCUCACAGUCAGCUCAUUGCCCACCAGGAACCCAAGGUCUUUUUCUGUAAAGCAACUCUGUAGUCAGCCAAUUGGCUCCCAGCUCAUAGCGGUGCUCUGGAGUUAUUCCUACCCAUUCCAUUGCCCUUUGAACUUUAUGAGGUUUGAUGUAUGGAUUUGACCCAUAUCUCCAUACAAUAAGGUCCCUCUGAGUUGGAACCCCAGCCAUCUGCUCUUUUAACUUUUCCUCCCAGUGUUGUAUCACAAGCAAACUUGCUGAGGGUGUCCUCAUACCCGUCAUCCAAGUUAUUAAUGAAGAUGUCAAACACUGCUGGCCCCACUAUUAACUCCUGGGGUGCACCACUAGUGAAUGGUCUCCAGAUGGGCUUCAUGCUACUGAUCACAACCAUUUGAGCUCAGUAGUUCAGCUAGCUUUCGAGCCACCUCACUGUUCAUUUAUGUCAUCUAUAUUUCAUCAGUUCAUCUAUGAGGAUGUUACGGCAGACAGCGCUGAAAACCUUGUUAAAAAUGGCAUAAACAACAUCCUCUGCUAUCCCCUCAUGCACCAAGGCAGUCAUCUCAUCAUGGAAGGCUAUUGUGAUGGUCAGGCCUGAUUUUAGCGUAUCAAGUUUACCAGAGUGUGAGGUUUUGAGAAAUCAGAGAAAGGGAGCCACACCUCAUCUCCCUCUGGCCUUGGUUUUCAUAAUAGUUGGAGGGAAAUUAGUGUUUGAGCUUUUAUUGUAACUAAGAAUGCCUGUCUCCCUUCUGGGGACUUAUGUAUGUAAGGCAGAAUUUACUGUAAAAGCUUAGUUACAUGUGCUAGAAUUUUUGACUCUGCUUUGGCAUGAACUAAGAAAAAGAAUAAUCAUUUAAAAAUAAACCUAGCUAUUGUAUUUAACCUUGGCCCGUGCAGCCAGUGAUAUUUUGUGAGACGUUCCAGCUAUCCACAGAUUCUUUUCACCAAAGCUUCCCUUCAGGAAACAAAAUAAAUUAAUGAUACAAACAGGAAGCAGCUGUCUUUUCCUAAAUAAUAAUUAAAAUGGGGUCCCCUUAGAGCGGGGGGGAAUAAAGGGGAGGGAAAAGACCUGAAAAAUUGUCGGUUUAACUUUGACCAGCCUUCAGAGGACAGGCUUAGAAUAGCGACACAAGCUGUGAGGCAAGGAGGACUUACUUUCUUAUGAGCCAUUUUUAAGUUUAAAAAAAAAAAAAAAAGGAAAGGUCUGUGAGAGGGGCAGAUGAGCGAGACAGAGGAAUGUUGCUCUCUCAAGGCACACAAGCUCUCCUCCUUCAGUAGUAUUCAUAUAGAAAGAAACAUUAAUCAUCGUAAUCACUGAUGCUGUUCUUCAGUGGCUUUCAUCUGCUAUCAGCAAUCACUAGGAAAUUCCAGAGUGUUCCUGACACAGUUCCUUGAAAUUCCUCUUUAAGAAUGAAGGAGGACAAGAGGGCUGGAAGCUCAGCUCCUUCCAGCAGCAGAGGUGAGGCAGUGACAGUGAGGGUACCACCAGGCAGGGGGUCCCGCUGUGCCCUGCACUAUGCUGGGGUACCCUAGAGGUGCAGGAACCUUUCCCCCAAGGUCUUAGCACCACAGCCUGCGGAUGACCACAAAAAUGUCUUGGACUCCAGCACAGAAACUAGGGCAGAUAAACAAGGCAGCCAAAGCCACACGCAACACAAGUGCUGGGACUUUUUUAUCUUCUGUGAGAGCUGGCUGAAGCAGUAAGUUGAUACAGUGUGAUGGUGUAUUUCAUAGCAGCACGAAAUCACAUUUUACUGCAAACCACAAUUUUGAAUUUAAUGUCUCUGAGGAGAAAGUGCCCUGAUGUAAAUGCCUGACAUGGCCCUGAGAAGACUUGAGAUGCUUCUUCAGUGAGUGCUUUGCUGUUUGCUUGCAUAGCCCUUACCUUUGGCACUAGGAGACAGCUGCUGCUGGUCAUAACAUGAGCAGCUUAAUAGAAGCUUUUUAUGACUGCGGUUUGAGAACUUAAACAGAAAGCACUGGUGAGGCACUGGAACAGGUCUCCUAGAGAGGUGGUGGAUGUCCCGUCCCUGGAGACACCCAAGGUCAGGCAGGAUGGGGCUCUGAGCACCUGAUCUAAUGUAGGUGUUCCCUGCAGUUUCCAUUGCAGGGGAGUUGGACAAGAUGGCCUUUAAGGGUCCCUUCCAGUUCAAAUGAUCCUGUGAUUCUAUGGUAAACCUGUGCCAUGAGGCCUGAUGAAUUAGCUAGUGCCACCUCCCAGAUACAGAGCUGGUGGGAAAAACAAGUUUUUGGGUUUCAUUUGUAGGAUUUCAAGACUCUGCUUGGCAGGAAAAUAGCCUUUUGUCAGCUGCGAAAUGUACCACUGAGCUACUAAAUGUGGUAGAGAUUUGCAGGUGAAAAAGGAGAUGGUAGAAAAAUUGGCGACAAGCCUUGAAAUCAUCAGAAUGUCGAAAAUAUUGGUUUCUGUUCCCUUCAAGGCGUGGAAACUCCAGGAGGACCUUAUGGCAUAGACUGUUGUCCAUGAAUCAAUGUUUUAUACCAAUUCUGACAGAAUUUUCUAGAACGGAUGGUUUUUAAGAUAGAAAGAAAAUAAGGCAUCUGGAUCUGAGAAAGAUUUUUACAUGAUUCCUUUUCUCUGUCCUCAGUGUCCCUAUUACUUUUCUUCUGCCUUUUUUUCUCCUUAUGACCUGUCCUAAAAUCUCAUGUUGACAUCCUCUGACUGAAAUGAGCAGCAAUACGUUUUCAUUUUCAGCUGGGCACAGCAGUCUCCUGCUGGUCCUAUAUCUGUAGCACUAAAGGGGGAGUGCUAAUCCAGUGGUAAAAAUGCAAAGGCUUCUUUUAACAACACAGGGCUUAGAAGUUUCAGAAAGUUCAGACAGGGCUGUCCGAGACACUUACAGGUCACAGACUUUUUCCACAGAUAGUUUUAUCUUAAGUUCCCCUUAGAUAAGGAUGCUGUCUUGACAGUCACCGUGGAAAAUCCUGUCUGUGUCCUCUGUGUGAGAGGGAAACGUGUUAUGGGUCUCUGAUGGAAAAGGAAACAUUGCCAUACAGGAAUUUGCAAUAUGUGUGCAUUCCCCACUGGAAGCACAGUUCUCUCCUUGGCUCUGUAUUUCUGUUGUCACUCAUGAUCUCUGCUGUAAUAUCCACCAUGAAAAAAGACGAUGCAGUCUGCCUCUUUUCUGCCAUGAGGUGCACUGAAAUAAUAGCAGCAGGGUGUUCUUCCCAUGGUCAGAAAAUGUUCAGUAGAACUGAUGAAUUCUGGACAAGCAGAGCUCUUAAAACAGAAAACUUGAAGAGCAACAAAAGGAGUCAGUACUUCUCCAGUGCUGCAGAAACACCUCCAUGGGGUCCCAAGAACCAAAGCAGAGAGCAAUGUGGAUAUCACCUUUGGUUUUGCAUGUGCUUGCUGCAUUAUAUGGAGCAAAACCAGCAGGGUUGCUUGUAGUGUUAAACGUGAAGCUGAUGUGCAUAACUUUGCAAGGUCUGGCCUUGCUGAAAUGCAAAAUCAUUAGACGUCCUCCACUUAGCAUGCCUUAUCUUCCCAAAUGAAGACGUUAUAGUAGUAAAAUUUGGAGAAAAUCAGUUUAAAUUGAUAUUUAAACUAGUGAAGCACAAAAGAAGGGGGAAAGAAAGGAGACGUCUUUUGAGGCUUCUUGGCUCCCGACAGUACAUGUGCCCUCAUUUUUAGUUCAAACUAAAUUAAUCUAUUAAGGUACAGGAAACCUAAUUUCAUAUCUGACUCUUCUUGGUCAGACAUUGGAAUACCAAAAAAGGCAGCUAGGUCUUUAUCACAAUGCACAAUUCAAGGGAAGUAAGAGGUAUUAUUCAUGAGGGUGUGACGUGAUGGCCGUGCUGAUUCACUCUUGCACUCCAAAGCCCUCCCAGUAUUUCCUAAGCCUUGGAGUCACAUUUACAAGGGUCCUUAUUUGGUGAGGAGGGCUACAUGUUUAGGCCAAUCCUUUUCCCUCCCUGCCACAAGUUAUUGUUUUAGGUGGGGUUUAUUUGUGUGUGUGUGUUUGUAUUUUUUUUUUAUUUUUAUUUUUAAGAUUAAACUCCCUGUGGCUAAGAAUAGCUUCUGUGAUUAUGCGAGCAGCAGCAAAAUGUAAAAAGAGUGUCAACAAUGUGAAUGUCACUGGAGGCAAAAAUCCCACUCCACCCGUCGCGACACAGUCCACUUUGAUAUGUCUCCGGGUGGCGCUUGGCUAAUUUUGUAUCUUCCUCAGUGGGAUCCCCAGCUGAUGUGACAAAAGGGAUAGCAAAAUGAGAGCAAUCAUUUUACAUCAAGUAAUGCCUCUGAUGGCUUGCAAUGAAGUACCCUGAGUCUUCAACUGAUGGAUUCUCAGAAGGUAGCUCCUGGUGUAGCCAUGCAUGCUUUGCUCUCUAACUGCUUGGAGAGAACAAGAUAAAGAAGCUCCAAAUACCUUGGCUCUUGGUUCUCAGCAGUUUCUCAGAAUCAGAGUUGGAGACUCAGGACAGGAGGCCUCAAAGGACCAGCUGGAAGGAUAUGAAGGGAAGGCUAACAAGGCCACUCAGUUGUUAUUUGGACACUCGUCAUUAAAUGCUGUUUUUCAGGGAAGAGGGGGCUGAGAAUGGUUCAAACUAUUGGAACUACAAACAAACCUUUUAAAACAGAUCCCAGGUAGGAUGGAUAAAGUCCUAUGCGCUUGAGUUUGCUGGGAAGCUGUAGUGGAAAUGCUAAGUCAUAGCCUAAACCAGUGAUUGAGCACCUGCUGGGAAUGCAGUGCCAACCCAGGGGAGCUCAGGUGUAUACAAUGCUCCUGAGUGACUGGAAGGGGUGGAACCUGGAUCCACCCCCUCCCAGACCUCAUUUAAGGGUUGGCAGUGCCUACCUGAAGGUUUCCAAAGGUAAGCAGCUUC